rnacentral:rRNA from 1 species
AUUGAACGCUGGCGGCAGGCCUAACACAUGCAAGUCGAACGAGUGGCGGACGGGUGAGUAAUGUCUGGGAAACUGCCUGAUGGAGGGGGAUAACUACUGGAAACGGUAGCUAAUACCGCAUACCAUCAGAUGUGCCCAGAUGGGAUUAGCUAGUUGGUGGGGUAACGGCUCACCAAGGCGACGCUCCCUAGCUGGGCUGAGAGGAUGACCAGGCACACUGGAACUGAACCACGGUCCAGACCCCUACGGUAGGCAGCAGUGGGGAAUAGUGCACAAGGGGCGCAAGCCUGAUGUAGCCAUGCCGCGUGUAUGAAAAGGGCAUUCGGGUUGGAGAGGACUUUUGGCGGGGAGGCGGUACCCGAAGAAGAAGCACCGGCUAACUCCGUGCCAGCCGCCGCGGUAAUAC